GCCCUUGUAGUUCAACGGAUAGAACAGUGCCGUCCUAAGGCGAAGAUGGGAGUUCGAUUCUCUCCGAGGGCA
rnacentral:tRNA from 1 species